CACGUACUGGGCGAACGUUAUUCGGAAUCACUGGGCUUACAGGGUGCGUAGGCGGCCCGUCAGGUCGGGUGUGAAAGGCUCCGGCUCAACCGGAGCAUUGCGCCCGAAACCGUCGGGCUUGAGUCGGCUAGGGGUCCGCGGAACUUCCGGUGGAGCGGUGAAAUGUGUUGAUAUCGGAAGGAACGCCGGUGGCGAAAGCGGCGGACUGGGGCCGGACUGACGCUGAGGCACGAAAGCCAGGGGAGCGAACGGG
rnacentral:misc_RNA from 1 species